rnacentral:rRNA from 1 species
GACGAACGCUGGCGGCGUGCUUAACACAUGCAAGUCGAACGGAAAGGCCCUGCUUUUGUGGGGUGCUCGAGUGGCGAACGGGUGAGUAACACAUGAGUAACCUGCCCUUGACUUUGGGAUAACUUCAGGAAACUGGGGCUAAUACCGGAGAGGAGCUCCUGCUGCAUGGUGGGGGUUGGAAAGUUUCGGCGGUUGGGGGUGGACUCGAGGCUUAUCAGCUGGUUGGUGGGGUAGUGGCGUACCAAGGCUUUGACGGGUAGGCCGCCUGAGAGGGUGACCGGCCACAUUGGGACUGCGAGACGGCCCAGACUCCUACGGGAGGCAGCAGUGGGGAAUAUUGCACAAUGGGCGGACGCCUGAUGCAGCAACGCCGCGUGCGGGAUGACGGCCUUCGGGUUGUAAACCGCUUUCGCCUGAGACGAAGCGUGAGUGACGGUAAUGGGUAAAGAAGCACCGGCUAACUACGUG